rnacentral:tRNA from 1 species
GGAGAAGUACCCAAGUGGCUGAAGGGGCUCCCCUGCUAAGGGAGUAGGUGCCGUCAGGCACGCGAGGGUUCAAAUCCCUCCUUCUCCGCCA